rnacentral:rRNA from 1 species
AUGCAGUCGAGCGGAUGAAUGGAGAUUGCUCCCGUAUUCAGCGGCGGACGGAUGAGUAAUGCCUAGGAAUCUGCCUGGUACUGGGGGAGGCAUCCGGAAACGGAAGCUAAUACCGCAUACGUCCUGAGGGAGAAAGUGGGGGAUCUUCGGACCUCACGCUAUUCGAUGAUCCUAUGUCGGAUUACCUACUUGGUGGGGUAAAGGUCUAGAAGGGCCACCAUCCCUAGGUGGUCUGAGAGGAUGAACCUGCAAGGUGGAACUGACACACGGUCCCUACUCCUACGGCAGGACUCCUUGGGGAAUAUUGAACAAGGGACCAUCCCCUGAGCCAGCCAUGCCGAGUGAGUGAAGAAGGUCUUCUGAUUGUAGCUUUCUUUUCGUUGGGAUGAGUGGCUAUAAAUUAAUACCUUGUUGUUUUGACAUUUCCAACCUAAUAAGCACCGGCUAACUUCGUGCCAGCUACCUCGGUACUACCAACGGUGCAAGCAUUAAUCUGAAUUACUGGACCUAAAACUCGCGUACGUGGUUCACCCAGUUGGAUGUUAAAUCCCCGGACUCAACCUGGGAACUGCAUCCAAAGCUAGUGAGCUAGAGUACGGUAGACGGUGGUGCAGUUUACUGUGUAGCAAUUCCAUGCGUAGAUAUAAGAUGGAUCAA